UACGGAGGGUGCAAACGUUGCUCGGAAUCAUUGGGCGUAAAGCGCACGUAGGCGGCCUGUUAAGUCGGAUGUGAAACCCCUCGGCUCAACCGAGGAAGUGCAUUCGAAACUGCCAGGCUUGAAUAUGGAAGAGGGUCGCGGAAUUCCCGGUGUAGAGGUGAAAUUCGUAGAUAUCGGGAGGAACACCAGUGGCGAAGGCGGCGACCUGGGCCAAUAUUGACGCUGAGGUGCGAAAGCGUGGGGAGCAAACAGG
rnacentral:rRNA from 1 species